AUUUUGAUUUAUUAUUUUAGAGUUUUCGUGUAUAUCCCCAAAUUUAUCCCAUCAUCUGCAUUAUCUCCUCCAUCUUCAGUGAUCGUCAGUCACCAAUCGCCGAACAAAGUUCGCAGUCGCAUCACUUGCUGUUGUCCUAAUCUUUAGCAUAUGUGAUAAGCCCCGAAGGACCAGCAGGAUAUCAAGAAAGAAUUCCCGCUACCUCAACCGAGAAUGAGUCAAGUAUGCACGCGACAGAAGACUCGGUCAUCAACUCCCCACUUUUGCAGUAGCUGCAAUUUCCCCUUAUCAUUUUCUUUUUUAUUUUUGUCCAUAUAUGUUCCUUAGAAGUAGGAAGAACGUUGCUUCAUUUUUCUGCAUUUAAAGACUGCAAUUCUGGAAUAAAAGGAGAUCAAAUUAUUUUCUCUAGACAGUGGCUAAUCCUCGCCCAAAGUAGAAUCUUUGCCUUAUUUUGCCGGUUAGCUUUGACUGAGACCUAUCAACAUGCAGUAGUUUGUUGCUUAAAAGGUGCAGACUUUUUGGGUUUUUUAAGAUAUUUGAGUAAUUAGUGGACCAUUAUCCUAUUUUAAUGUUUUUUUACCACUAGAAAAGUUAUUUAAGGAGCUCAGAUUCUGAAUUCAAGUUAAUGUGAGAUUCCAGCCUAAAAUCCAUUCACUCUGCUUUAAGUUAUAACAGCCUCUGUUUCAUUGCUUGAGUUCAUAACACUCCAUGCCUAGUUUUUUCUGUAAGACCACUAUUCUCCACCAUGUCAAAUAUUGUUUCAUACCCUUGUCUCGCUCCAUACUGAUGCAUCGACAACAUUUUCAAUUUCUUCAAAACAAUUCCUCAAUCUUAUUAGCACCAAUCAAAUUCGUAUCAACUGAGACAAAUCAAAACUCUUUUACAGUCUUUUAUCUCGUGAAUUCAUGUCAAUUCUCUUUAAGAUCUGCUAUUUCAGCUUCAAAGUACAUCAAUUUUAAAACCCCUGAUAAGCCCGACUCUGUCCUUAUCUUCCUCACCAAUCAUGGCUUCUCAAAAAGCCAAAUCAUGAACCUCAUCAAGAAAUGCCCAGCAGUCUUAACUUGCAAUCCUGAUAAUCUUUUGUCCAAGGUCCAAUUUCUUCAAUCUAAAGGCUUUUCAGUUGUUGAUAUUGCGCAUAUUUUCGCUUCUAACCCUACUCUAUUCCGUAGAAAGUUAAAGGAUCAAAUAAUCCCGUAUUUUGACUUGAUUAUAGAUUUGCUUCACUCUACCGAGGAAGUCAUUGCUGCUGUUAAACGCUUCCCACAUAUUCUUUGUCAUGGUUUUAAGGCUUACGUUGCACCUCGUGUUGAUGUCUUGAGACAUAAUGGCGUUCCUACAUAUAAGAUUCUCUUAUUUCUACGUUUUCGAGUUGAAACUGGUAAAGGUAGUUUUGAUAAGUUCAAAGAAACUGUAGAGAUGGUGAAGGAAAUGGGGAUUAGUCCUUUGAAAGCACAGUUUGUUCUGGCGAUUGUUGCAUUGAGUGCGGUGAGUAAGAUUCAGUGGAAAAGAAAGUUUAAGUUGUAUAUGAAGUGGGGUUUGUCAGAGGAGGAGAUUUUGUCAGCAUUUGGUAGAUUUCCAUGGUUUAUGGUUGCAUCCGAGAACAAGAUCAUGGCGGUAAUGGAGUUUGUUGUGAAUGAAAUGGGGUUUGGAUAUUCAGAAAUCAUCAAGCGGCCUGUUAUUGUUUCAUUGAGCUUGAAGAACAGGAUCAUUCCUCGGGUUGCAGUUGUUCAAUUUUUGAUGUCUAAAGGGAUGAUUAAGAAGAAACAUCCUUGUGGUCUCACCUAUCUAGAGUUAACCGAAAAAGAUUUCCUGCAGAGAUUUGUUUACUCUUAUGAUGAAGCUCCUGAACUACUUAAGGUUUAUAGGGAGAAGAUGGAUUCUCCUAUUUGAAGAUUCCAGAAAAUUUAGUAACUCACAUUCAAAGAAAUCUAGUAAUGUGAAUAAAAAUUUUCCUAUGUUAAUGAGGUUGCUUCAAGUAAAGAUGGAGAAAAUGCCGGCAAAAGUAGGCAGCAGAAGAGAAAAUUGUCGGAUAUGUUAGGACCGCAGUGGAGCAAGGAAGAGCUUGAGCAUUUUUAUAAAGCAUAUCGUAAGUAUGGGAGAGACCGGAACCAAAUUUUUGAUGAUGCUGCAGAAUUUUGUUAAAGAUUGUGUAUGGGGAUAAAACUUCAAUUUCACUUGAGAACAUGUUUCUGUUGGACAAUUUCACAGCUCGAUGUUUGAAGCUUUUUCGUAUUGCAUGGAUGGUUAUGAUGAUUAUUUAUCAAUCCAUUAUUAUAGCAUCUAUUUGUUUUCUUUUUUGUUCUGUUGGGUUUUGCAGGUGGCUGGUAACCUGUCUUUGUAAAUGGUAGAAGCCCUGUAAUCUGUCUUUGUAAAUGGUAGAAGCCCUGUAAUCUGUCUUUGUAAAUGGUAGAAGCCCUGUAAUUCUCUAACUGCAAAUGGGAUUUGAUUUUGAUAGUGGAGGUUGAUGAUGUUCAUAUAGAGUUGAAUUUGUAAUACUACUAGCAGUUUGUGUAAGAAUAAGAAGUGCAGUUGAAUUACUUCUCGGAA